rnacentral:rRNA from 1 species
UACGUAGGGUGCAAGCGUUGUCCGGAAUUAUUGGGCGUAAAGAGCUCGUAGGCGGUCAGUCGCGUCUGCUGUGAAAACUCGGGGCUUAACUCCGGGCCUGCAGUGGGUACGGGCUGACUAGAGUGCGGUAGGGGAGACUGGAAUUCCUGGUGUAGCGGUGAAAUGCGCAGAUAUCAGGAGGAACACCGGUGGCGAAGGCGGGUCUCUGGGCCGAAACUGACGCUGAGGAGCGAAAGCGUGGGGAGCAAACAGG